rnacentral:rRNA from 1 species
UACGUAGGUGGCAAGCGUUGUCCGGAUUUAUUGGGCGUAAAGGGCUCGUAGGCGGUUUGUCGCGUCGGGAGUGAAAACUCAGGGCUUAACCCUGAGCCUGCUUCCGAUACGGGCAGACUAGAGGUAUGCAGGGGAGAAUGGAAUUCCUGGUGUAGCGGUGAAAUGCGCAGAUAUCAGGAGGAACACCGGUGGCGAAGGCGGUUCUCUGGGCAUUACCUGACGCUGAGGAGCGAAAGUGUGGGGAGCGAACAGG